rnacentral:rRNA from 1 species
UACGUAGGGCGCAAGCGUUGUCCGGAAUUAUUGGGCGGAAAGAGCUCGUAGGCGGUUCGUCGCGUCGGCUGUGAAAACCCGGAGCUCAACUCCGGGCCUGCAGUCGAUACGGGCGGACUGGAGUUCGGCAGGGGAGACUGGAAUUCCUGGUGUAGCGGUGAAAUGCGCAGAUAUCAGGAGGAACACCGGUGGCGAAGGCGGGUCUCUGGGCCGAUACUGACGCUGAGGAGCGAAAGCGUGGGGAGCGAACAGG